rnacentral:rRNA from 1 species
GGGGAAUAUUGCACAAUGGGGGAAACCCUGAUGCAGCGACGCCGCGUGAGUGAAGAAGUAUUUCGGUAUGUAAAGCUCUAUCAGCAGGGAAGAAAUGACGGUACCUGACUAAGAAGCCCCGGCUAACUAC